rnacentral:lncRNA from 1 species
AGCUGAUAGGGAAGUGUCACAUGACAAAUUUUCACUGCUGUGACAUUUCAAUGUGACUUUACAAAUGUGGAGUAUAUUGGAAAAGUCCAAUAUACAUCAAAUGUUUCAUACAUGAGCUUUUGGAGACCCACAGUGUUUCAAGCACUGUUUGCUGUGGAGGACAUGACACAAGGAAAAGUUGGUCGGUCUAGUGCCAAAGCAAUGUUUUCCCUUUGGUACUCAGCAUAAGAGGGGCGUGUGCCAUUGCCCACUGAGUGCCAGGGAGGAAGAAAAUCUAGAUAACAUGGAAACUGAAGAUGUGCUAAUGUUCCAGCUCCCCCAAACUCCUUGGAAUAUCUUGUCUGAGUGCCUGGAUAUUCAGGGAACCUGUUAACCUGCCUCACUACCUGAAUCUGGGCGACAUGGAGAUACCGAAAACAUCCACAUAAAUACCUAAAUUUAGUUUUGGCACAAAACUUCGGCAAUAUAAACCAACAGUCUGACAAAGGGAGAGCAGGGGGACAGGAAAAGAUAAAAUACAUUCCCCACCUCUGAAACAUCACUGUAUUUUGUUAAUAUCUUUAAAGGCACAUUUGAGUGACCAAGCCAGGUGAACCUGUGGCCAGACUGGGACUAAAUACAGUGGCAACCAAAGAUCCCAUGGGAGGAGAAAGGGGAAGAAAGGAAGAGAAACAACAGAACAGUGUGUUCCUUCUGGCCCAGAGGCUGGGUUAAUAAAAUAUAAAAGAAGAAACAAGAAAGAGAAGAGAAAAGAGAAGAGAAGAGAGAGAAGAGAAGAGAAGAGAAGAGAAGAGAAGAGAAGAGAAGAGAAGAGAAGAGAAGAGAAGAGAAGAGAAGAGAAGAGAAGAGAAGAGAAGAGAAGAGAAGAGAAGAGAAGAGAAGAGAAGAGAGAACAAAAAGCAAUGGAAAAGGCUUAAAAUAAGUCCUGUCAUUUCAAAGAGCUUAUCAUUGUAUUUUGUUUCCUAUUUUCAGAACAAAUUCUCUGUUAAAAAACAAGUGCCCAAUAUUCUGUAAACUGUCUUGCAGUAUUUCUGCAAGACAUCUCCCUACAUAUAACAGUUUUAUAAUCCACAACUCUAACCCAGAGUUUUUAAGACUUCAAGAAUCAUCCAGUAAAUCUGUGCCAUUGGGCUACAUAAAUUAAUGUUUCCCAAAGUCCUUGAUCUUGAUGCC